rnacentral:tRNA from 1 species
GGGGUUGUGGCUCAGUGGUAGAGCACUUGCCUAGCAUGUGUGAGGCCCUGGGUUCAAUCCUUAGCACCA